UUGACGGGGAGCACCACAACGGUGGAGCUUGCGUUUAAUUGGAUUCAACGCCGGAAAUCUUACCGGGACCGACAGCAAUAUGAAGGCCAGGCUGAAGACUUUGCCGGAUUAGCUGAGAGGUGGUGCAUGGCCGUCGUCAGUUCGUACUGUGAAGCAUCCUGUUAAGUCAGGCAACGAGCGAGACCCACGCCCACAGUUGCCAGCGUACUCUCCGGAGUGACGGGUACACUGUGGGACCGCCGCUGCUAAAGCGGAGGAAGGAAUGGGCAACGGUAGGUCAGUAUGCCCCGAAUAUCCCGGGCUACACGCGAGCUACAAUGGUUGGUACAAUGGGUAUCUACCCCGAAAGGGGACGGGAAUCUCCUAAAACCAAUCUUAGUUCGGAUUGAGGGCUGCAACUCGCCCUCAUGAAGCUGGAAUCCGUAGUAAUCGCGUUUCAACAGAACGCGGUGAAUACGUCCCUGCUCCUU
rnacentral:rRNA from 1 species